GAGUUUGAUCGUGGCUCAGGAUGAACGCUGGCGGCGUGCUUAACACAUGCAAGUCGAACGGACAAGGAGAGCUUGCUCUUCUUGUUAGUGGCGGACGGGUGAGUAACGCGUGAGCAAUCUGCCCAUAUCAGGGGAAUAACAGUUAGAAAUGACUGCUAAUACCGCAUAAGACCACAGGAGGGCAUCCUCCAGGGGUAAAAGAUUUUAUCGGAUAUGGAUGAGCUCGCGUCCUAUUAGGCAGUUGGCGGGUAACGGCCCACCAAACCGACGAUAGGUAGCCGACCUCAGAGGGUGAUCGGCCACAUUGGAACUGAGACACGGUCCAAACUCC
rnacentral:rRNA from 1 species